rnacentral:rRNA from 1 species
GUAAACGGCGGCCGUAACUAUAACGGUCCUAAGGUAGCGAAAUUCCUUGUCGGGUAAGUUCCGACCUGCACGAAUGGCAUAAUGAUGGCCAGGCUGUCUCCACCCGAGACUCAGUGAAAUUGAAAUCGCCGUGAAGAUGCGGUGUACCCGCGGCUAGACGGAAAGACCCCGUGAACCUUUACUAUAGCUUGACACUGAACAUUGAAUUUUGAUGUGUAGGAUAGGUGGGAGACUAUGAAGAUGAUACGCCAGUAUUGUUGGAGUCGUCCUUGAAAUACCACCCUUUAACGUUUGAUGUUCUAACGAAGAUUACGAAACGUGGUCUCGGACAGUGUCUGGUGGGUAGUUUGACUGGGGCGGUCUCCUCCCAAAGAGUAACGGAGGAGCACGAAGGUUUGCUAAUGACGGUCGGACAUCGUCAGGUUAGUGCAAUGGUAUAAGCAAGCUUAACUGCGAGACAGACAAGUCGAGCAGGUACGAAAGUAGGUCAUAGUGAUCCGGUGGUUCUGAAUGGAAGGGCCAUCGCUCAACGGAUAAAAGGUACUCCGGGGAUAACAGGCUGAUACCGCCCAAGAGUUCAUAUCGACGGCGGUGUUUGGCACCUCGAUGUCGGCUCAUCACAUCCUGGGGCUGAAGUAGGUCCCAAGGGUAUGGCUGUUCGCCAUUUAAAGUGGUACGCGAGCUGGGUUUAGAACGUCGUGAGACAGUUCGGUCCCUAUCUGCCGUGGGCGUUGGAGAAUUGAUUGGGGCUGCUCCUAGUACGAGAGGACCGGAGUGGACGCACCACUGGUGUUCCGGUUGUGUCGCCAGACGCAUUGCCGGGUAGCUAAGUGCGGAAGAGAUAAGUGCUGAAAGCAUCUAAGCACGAAACUUGCCAAGAGAUGAGUUCUCCCAGAUUUAAAAUCUGUAAGGGUUGUUUAAGACUAAGACGUAGAUAGGUCUGGUGUGUAAGCGGUGCGAGCCGUUGAGCUAACAGAUACUAAUUGCCCGAGAGGCUUAACUAU